CUCCCGCCGAUUUGUGCCCCAGCAAGAAUCUGCAAAGCCUUAGAGGUUGACAGACAAGCUGUGCUGGAGAGGGCGCGAGGGGGGAAGGGAUCUGCCAGCCCUGGCCCAUCCCCCAUUCCCUACCCUGCGUCUCAUAUGUCUGAUCCAGUGCACCAUUGAUCGGAGCACGCUACACCUUUUUUUGGGGGGGGGAUUCCCCUUAACCCCCACGUGUUCUCCGUGCUCACAGCGGCCUGCGUGUGUGCGAAAGGCCAAGAUUGGAAAUGCUGAACGCUUUGCAUUUUCUUGCACGUUGUAAUAGAUAUUACUUCCAUCAGGAGAAAUAAACUGUUUUAGCAUGAAGGGAACCCAUACCAGGAGAAAAUACUGAGAAUUUUAAAUGGAUAUCUCAUUUAUGAGGGCUUUUUAAUUUUUCAGCCUUCCCUUGCAAACUUUAAAUUACAUUCCCAGCUAUGACAUCUGGUUUCUCAUCAGUGUGUGUGCCAUCAUUUUGCAAAAGUUGGUACCGUCUAACAUGAUGAAUCAUCAUAGUUAUUUAUCUUUGGAAGAUGGACAGCUCUGCAGUAUCUGCUUGGAAUACUUUUUUUUAGUGGGGAAAAGCAUAUAGGACAUAACUUGAUAGUGCACAACAGAAAUCUCCAUGGAGUCAAACUGCUUUAGUCUAUGAAACCAUGGGAUGGUAUAAGAAUGACUUGUCUUAACAAAGUUCUGACUGUUUUGCUGCCUCAGUUUACUUCUUGUUGUAUGACCUAAAGCUGAUCUCCUUACACCUUCAUGCGGAGGUGAGGAUUCAUAAUGCUGCCUUGUUGGGCCAUAUUCGGUAAUAGCCAUCCUCUAGAGUUUAGCACUUGUCGCGUUUUCAAUUUGCAGUACAAACAUUUUGUGAUUCAGAAGGCUGAUCCAGUUGGUUGUGAUGUAAGCAGAACAUAAGACUUCAUAUAUUAAUUUCUGUGCAUAUCAUGUAUGUAGAGCUUUGUGAAUUACACUAUUUAUCCUAAACUUUAAAGCUAUAUGACUGCAUACAGUACUUCUGGUGAGAAUGGCUUGAAAGUAUACCCAAGAUCUGCAAUAAAUGUCUUUUGACUUGC